GACGGAUUAGUGGUGAACGGGUGAGGAACACGUGAGAAACCUGCCUUUCAUUCUGGGAUAACACCGGGAAACCGGUGCUAAUACCGGAUACUCCGUCUUGGCGGCAUCGCCGAGUCGGGAAAAAAUUUUGAUGAAAGAUGGUCUCGCGGCCUAUCAGCUAGUUGGUGAGGUAAUGGCUCACCAAGGCGACGACGGGUAGCCGGCCUGAGAGGGCGACCGGCCACACUGGGACUGAGACACGGCCCAGACUCCUACGGGAGGCAGCAGUAGGGAAUAUUGGGCAAUGGGCGCAAGCCUGACCCAGCGACGCCGCGUGAGGGAUGAAGGUCUUCGGAUUGUAAACCUCUUUCAGUAGGAAAGAAGCGAAAGUGACGGUACCUAAAGAAGAAGCACCGGCUAACUAUGUGCCAGCAGCCGCGGUAAUACAUAGGGUGCAAGCGUUGUCCGGAAUUAUUGGGCGUAAAGAGCUCGUAGGUCGUUUGUCGCGUCGAUUGUGAAAAUCUGAGGCUCAACCUCAGACCUGCAGUCGAUACGGGCAAACUAGAGUGUGGUAGGGGAGACUGGAAUUCCUGGUGUAGCGGUGGAAUGCGCAGAUAUCAGGAGGAACACCAAUGGCGAAGGCAGGUCUCUGGGCCAUAACUGACACUGAGGAGCGAAAGUGCGGGGAGCGAACAGGAUUAGAUACCCUGGUAGUCCGCACCGUAAACGGUGGGCACUAGUUGUGGGAACCUUCCACGGUUUCCGCGACGCAGCAAACGCAUUAAGUGCCCCGCCUGGGGAGUACGAUCGCAAGAUUAAAACUCAAAGGAAUUGACGGGGCCCCGCACAAGCAGCGGAGCAUGCGGCUUAAUUCGACGCAACGCGAAGAACCUUACCAAGGCUUGACAUAUAGCGAAAAGUGGCAGAGAUGUCAUGUCCGCAAGGGCGCUAUACAGGUGGUGCAUGGUUGUCGUCAGCUCGUGUCGUGAGAUGUUGGGUUAAGUCCCGCAACGAGCGCAACCCUCGUUCUGUGUUACCAGCAUUCAGUUGGGGACUCACAGGAGACUGCCGGGGUCAACUCGGAGGAAGGUGGGGAUGACGUCAAAUCAUCAUGCCCCUUAUGUCUUGGGCUGCACGCAUGCUACAAUGGCCGGUACAAAGUGCUGCGAGAUCGUAAGAUUGAGCGAAUCACAUAAAGCCGGUCUCAGUUCGGAUUGAGGUCU
rnacentral:rRNA from 1 species